rnacentral:lncRNA from 1 species
ACCGUAUUUGGACAUUUUUAGACAAUGGUUUCUUAGUAAAGUAAAAUGACUUGGAUUGCAUUAUUUGUAACUGAAAACUUAAGAUAUAUUAAUACCAGUUACAGAUGUUAUAUUUUUAUAAUUUAGCUUCUGUACAUUGCAGAAGAUAAAUUAUGAACUUUAAAUCAUCAUGUUUUGGUUUGUUUUACUGCUUGGAAAAGUCUCCUCUUUGCAACAGUAACAUCCUGUAUGUACUGUUUGUACGUCAGAAGGAGUUGUUAGCGCUCACUUAGGUAUGCAGUAAGAAACAUCUCGUUUAUCAGAAAGGAAAUUUAUUAUGUACAUGGAACAUAGAUACCAGUUUUCAGGCUGAGUUGAGUGGUCCAUGCCUAUAAUCCCAGCAUUUGGGACAUGGAGACAGGAACAUCCAAGAGUUCAAAGUUAACCUUUAAUGGCAAACCAAGUUCAAGACUAGGGCUAUAAAAGCAGCAAUACCAAAAAGCCUCAGUUUAUAUUUCUAAUAUUCAACCAUAUUGUUAUACUAUCCUGACUUCACGAAGCCCAAGUUUAGUAGAAGUUUCAGUGUUGUCACAGGAGUAGUUUAAAGACUCAGUCUAAUUGCAGUCUCCCAGCCUUUGGAAGUAGAGAUGUAGCAUCCAAAGGUCUCACCCCUCACAGUCUCUCUAGAGAGGUCUUUGUCUUCUGCAUAAACAGAUAAUUAAGGGCCUUAUUUCCAUUGUUGUUUUGCAGUGUUUCACUACAACUAAAGGUUGGUGGGUUACUAAAGAAUUGUCAUACUCUAAUUAGAUAGCUAUGGAACAUUUGUCAGAUAGUUAGGCCACAUCGGAGAUACAUGAUUGAUUGACUGGAAGCAGUUUCACUUGAAAAUGACUUACGUAGGACAGUGAACAGCAAACAUUCUCAUACAUAAUCAUUAACAGAACUGCCUCUUGGCUGUAGUGUAGUAGACUAACUGGAACCUUCAAGGGUUAUUGAGAUAAAGUUCAGCCCUGCAUGAUGUUAGCAGCGUUCACACAGUUAGUUUCAGUUGACAGUGUUUUAUUUUGACAUUCCAUUUUGUAUCAUCAUAGCUAUCUAUAAGCUUCUCUCCAAUGUAAGUUAAAAGUAUGUGGUUUCAAGCUUUCUAUCUAAGAAAACAAACUGAUUUUAAUAUUUUGUUUGCGUGAAGUUUAUUUUUGAGUAGGUUGAAAGGACCAAGAUACUUGAGUUACUAAAGGGCUAUUACCAAUGUUCAUCCUAUAUGCAGGAGGUGUACAGUAUUUUAAAAGUGAAUAGGGUGGAGAUUGCUUUUAUUUAGAAUGCAUUAGCCCCAUAUUAUCCAGAAGAUACUGCUAACAGUAGUAGCUUAAUUAGGCAGUAAGUUGUCUUAGGUUAAAAAUUGGGAAAAGUACACCUUUUGUUUCCAUCCAAAAAAAUGAUUUUUAGAUGACUUCAACUAAAAUUAAUGCAUCUACUAAGAAACUAUUUUGUUUUUAAUUAUAAUUAUCAAAAUGAUCCAAAUGAAAAGACAUUCUCAACUAUGUACAGUACUCCAGGAGGAGGUCUAAUUGAGUCAGAAGACUGUAAGUACCACUUUGAGCGCUCUGGAGAUCAACCCACACAAGUACAGUGAGUAGAUUAUCUGAGCUAUAAAUAUAUUUUUUAGUUUCAAUAGCUCUGUUUUGAAAUACUUUUUUAAUGCAGAUAAAAAAAAUCAGGAAAUUAACCUUAUAUGGCACAAACCAAAUACAUAGUAGUAUAUGGAUGAGUUUCUACAUUUAAAGAACUAAGAAGAUAGGUUCAGGAUUGUAUUAUAGUACAUGCACUUACAUGCAGAUACACAUGCUGAUUACUUUCAAGGAUGUGUGUGUUGGUUUAUCACAACAAUAAAUUUAAAAGUAAGAUACAAUGUUACAUUUUUAGACCAUAUUGAAACAGCAAGAAGAGACAGGUCUUAAAAAGUUAUUAAGAAAACUACUUAAUCCCACCAUGGGAUAUUUAGAGGUCUAAAUAUAGCUCAAUUUUAAAAAGCAACUGACCUAAAGGGUUAAUGUUGUAACUGACACAUUUCAAAUUAAAAUUAUGUUUAUUUUGUACAGAAAGCAAUGUUAAACACAAGCAGAUCUGUUGUAUGUAAUAAGUGACAGAGUUUUUAAAAUUAUUUAGCUUUACGGAUGUUGUUUUAUUUCUUCUAGACCUGGAGCACCGUGUCAUAAGUGGCAGCCUUGCUCCACGGUAGCAGGCUCUUUCUUUUGUACAUACUGAUCGGACCUUCUUUACUGUUCCGUGGACACUUUCUAUGUUAGUUUUGAUGCAUAAUUCUUGGAAUCCUUUUAUACAAACUAGAAUGUAUGUGUAAGAAUUCCUGUCCCUGCAAUGUAGUAACUAUAAACUUAUUUUUAAAUAAAUAGAAAACUUGUUUUUCUAAGCCAUUUUGUAGAGCCUCAUGAUUUCUUUGCUUUUCUGUUUAUUUUGAUUAGUUUUGGACAGCAUAAAGCACUUGGUACGUACUCAGUAGGCAGCUUACCAAAGCAAUUGUGAAAUAGAAGCCAUUAUGUAAAUUCUGGUUUGUUAGAGGUUCCACUUUUCUGUCUAUUUGUGAAAUGUUAAAAUCAUUAUCAAAGAUUUCAAUCACCUAAUGUAAUUCCAGAGUGACUGAAGGUUAAAAAAUAAAGAUGCCUUUGCCUUUC